GAAAAACUUUUGAAUCAUUUAAAUUUGUUUUUCCUUGAAAACAAAAGUGCUGCUAGUAUGUUCUUAAUUAUCGAGGCUCACAAUGUGACGAGAUGUUGAAAGUAAGGAAAGAAAUGAUGUGGAAUGGCAAUAAUGAAAGUUAUUAUCCAUAUUUCAUAAUUCCUUUCUUAUCCACAAUGUCUCUUUCUCAAGCCAUUGUUUCGAAGGCGCUGAACGGAUGGCAAGGAAAGAAACAUAAUAAACCAUUUUUCUUCGUCCAAACAAAGAAAACGGUGCCUAGAUUCAAUUUAGAUGGGAGUCACUGCUCUUUCAGUUU
rnacentral:misc_RNA from 1 species